rnacentral:miRNA from 1 species
CCUGCCUCAGCUUCCUGAGUUGCUGGGAUUACAGAUCUGAGCCAUUAGGCUCAGCCUAAAUCCACUUUUGUGUCCAG